GCGGCCUAUCAGCUUGUUGGUGAGGUAAUGGCUCACCAAGGCGACGACGGGUAGCCGGCCUGAGAGGGCGACCGGCCACACUGGGACUGAGACACGGCCCAGACUCCUACGGGAGGCAGCAGUAGGGAAUAUUGGGCAAUGGGCGAAAGCCUGACCCAGCGACGCCGCGUGAGGGAUGAAGGUCUUCGGAUUGUAAACCUCUUUCAGUAGGGAAGAAGCGAAAGUGACGGUACCUAAAGAAGAAGCACUGGCUAACUAUGUGCCAGCAGCCGCGGUAAUACAUAGGGUGCAAGCGUUGUCCGGAAUUAUUGGGCGUAAAGAGCUCGUAGGUCGUUUGUCGCGUCGAUUGUGAAAAUCUGAGGCUCAACCUCAGACCUGCAGUCGAUACGGGCAAACUAGAGUGUGGUAGGGGAGACUGGAAUUCCU
rnacentral:rRNA from 1 species